rnacentral:rRNA from 1 species
AACGAACGCUGGCGGCAGGCUUAACACAUGCAAGUCGAACGGGAUCUUCGGAUCUAGUGGCAGACGGGUGAGGAACACGUGGGAACAUCCCUUUCAGUUCGGAAUAACGUUGGGAAACUAACGCUAAUACCGGAUACGUCUUUCGGGAGAAAGAUUUACCGCUGAAAGAUUGGCCCGCGUCUGAUUAGCUAGUUGGUGAGGUAAUGGCUCACCAGGGCUACGAUCAGUAGCUGAUCUGAGAGGAUGAUCAGCCACAUUGGGACUGAGACACGGCCCAAACUCCUACGGGAGGCAGCAGUGGGGAAUAUUGGACAAUGGGCGCAAGCCUGAUCCAGCCAUGCCGCGUGAGUGAUGACGGCCUUCGGGUUGUAAAGCUCUUUUGUCCGGGAAGAUAAUGACUGUACCGGAAGAAUAAGCCCCGGCAAACUUCGUGCCAGCAGCCGCAGUAA